rnacentral:misc_RNA from 1 species
UUUCCGUAGGUGAACCUGCGGAAGGAUCAUUACACUCAGUAGAUCUCUACUGGUCGGGAGAGCGGAAAGCCCGCCGAAUAGCCUUCGGCAGCUGGCGCGCGAGUACGCUCUCUGUCUGCACCCUUGUCUUUUUGCGUACUCAUGUUUCCUCGGCGGGCUCGCCCGCCGUUUGGACACCUCAACCACCUUUUUGAAUUUUCAAUCAGCGUCUGAAUAACCUUAAUAAUUACAACUUUCAACAACGGAUCUCUUGGUUCUGGCAUCGAUGAAGAACGCAGC